GAUGCAAAUGUCUCAGUUCAAGAAGGAUAUACAAGAGAAAUGAGCAAUAUUGUGGUGAUUGAACCAUAUAGAAGAUAGGUUCAAGUUUGAUGUGUAAGGCUAAAUUUUGAUUCUUAAGGAUUUGGAAGGAAGAUAGGAAGAUUGCAUUGGACAUGUUUUAAGAAUGUUGAGAAGUGGAGAAGAUGCACCAA